CCUACGGGUGGCAGCAGUGAGGAAUAUUGGUCAAUGGACGAGAGUCUGAACCAGCCAAGUAGCGUGAAGGAUGACUGCCCUAUGGGUUGUAAACUUCUUUUAUAUGGGAAUAAAAUGUUCCACGUGUGGGAUUUUGUAUGUACCAUAUGAAUAAGGAUCGGCUAACUCCGUGCCAGCAGCCGCGGUAAUACGGGGGAUCCGCGCGUUAUCCGGAUUUAUUGGGUUUAAAGGGAGCGUAGGUGGAUUGUUAAGUCAGUUGUGAAAGUUUGCGGCUCAACCGUAAAAUUGCAGUUGAAACUGGCAGUCUUGAGUACAGUAGAGGUGGGCGGAAUUCGUGGUGUAGCGGUGAAAUGCUUAGAUAUCACGAAGAACUCCGAUUGCGAAGGCAGUUCACUGGACUGCAACUGACACUGAGGCUCGAAAGUGUGGGUAUCAAACAGGAUUAGAUACCCCUGUAGUC
rnacentral:rRNA from 1 species